GUGGUUGUGGCUCAGUGGUAGAGCACUCACCUAGCAUGUGUGAGGCACUGGAUGUGAUAUUCAGCACCACA
rnacentral:tRNA from 1 species